UACAUUAAAAAGUUAAGAGAGCAGAUAA
rnacentral:sRNA from 1 species